AACGCACCUUGCGCUCCUUGGUAUUCCGAGGAGCAUGCCUGUUUGAGUGUCAUUAAAUUCUCAACCUUACCAAAUUUUUUGGUAUGGCUUGGAUGUGGGGGUUAUUUUGCUGGCUCUUCAAUAUUGAAGUCUGCUCCCCUUAAAUGUAUUAGCUGGUCCCCGUGUGGAACUAUCUAUUGGUGUGAUAAUUAUCUACGCCGUGGAUGUCUACUUUGAAUGGGUUGUACUGCUUCUAACUGUCUAUGAAGUUGGACAAUAUAUGACAAUUUGACCUCAAAUCAGGUAGGACUACCCGCUGAACUUAA
rnacentral:misc_RNA from 1 species